rnacentral:rRNA from 1 species
UACGAAGGGGGCUAGCGUUGCUCGGAAUCACUGGGCGUAAAGGGUGCGUAGGCGGGUCUUUAAGUCAGGGGUGAAAUCCUGGAGCUCAACUCCAGAACUGCCUUUGAUACUGGGAGGCUCGAGUCCGGGAGAGGUGAGUGGAACUGCGAGUGUAGAGGUGAAAUUCGUAGAUAUUCGCAAGAACACCAGUGGCGAAGGCGGCUCACUGGCCCGGUACUGACGCUGAGGUGCGAAAGCGCGGGGAGCAAACAGG